UUGUGGAACAGCCUGUAUGUACAUAAAGAAAACUUCGCUAAACUAAAUUGCUUAUCGCCAAGUGCAGGCGGGCAUUGUAAAACAUACACAUUUUUGAUUAUUUUUAUUUGAACGUGAGGUCUACUCAAGCACGUCGUAUUUAAAGUGUAAUUGCGUUCACCAAGCAAUUAAGUAAGCAGUAAUUUAGUCGCAAUUACCUAUAUUAGACGGAUAGCUGUAUUAUUGACAUUCCUCACAAACUGGAAAGGAUUGGGCUCGGAUUUGUGGGGACGGAGUCUCAUAGAGACUCCGGUUUACGGGAUACCUCAUUAUUACGGUUGGAAAUUGGGUAACCGUUUAAAUCAGCCACUCCAUCGGCUUACGAACGCUGCCAUCAACGUGACUGAGUACUGGGAUUAUUAGCUAGCUCCUGGCCGUCUUGCCUGUACCUGCUGCACCACCUGCAACCCCAACAUAGGAUCUAGUUCAUCUGUAAUCACAAUAGAUACUCACCGGAAGCGGAACCAUCUCAUCUCUACCAUACCUACCAUCUGACCAUAAGGGUGAGCGUUGCUGAGUGGUUGCGUGGAUGCGAGGGUGUUUGUAUUGUAUGUUAGUCUGUAAGCUAUCACAGGAUUUGUUAUAUUAUAUUGUAGUCGUCCAUCGCAUGUUUUGUAAUUAAAUAUAUAUAUGCUAACGUAUCCGAGUGUCUUCCGAA